rnacentral:lncRNA from 1 species
CGCGGGAGAAAAGCCCUGCGAGGAAAUUCAACCUGGGCAGCCCGAAACGGGCUCCCGCCGGCCGCGCCCGCACCCUCCGCCCGGGGCUUCGGGGACCAGCAUACAAUAGCGCAGCCGGGGGCCUGGGAAGCCCCACUCGCCCCAGAGGAGGAGCCGGUGGACUUGGUUCUCGCCAGGGAGACGUGGCAUCUCAGCAGCCCCUCAGAGCCCAUCUGAACUCCGGCCCGGAAGGCCACCCCCGGCCGGAGUAACCGUCUCCCGACCUCGGGGCCGUGUGUCCCCGCCUUUUGUGGUGCAAAUGAGGAGCGCUCCGGGGCCCGGGGGGCGGCGCUCGCCCGGGACAAAGUUUGCCCGCUGCUUCUCCGACACUUCCUUCACACUUUGUUUGAGCUCGGCGCGGGAAGGUCGGCGCGGGAAGGUCGGAUCCAUCCAGGGAUCCCCCCUGCCGGCGUGGAGGAAUGCUGAGGAAGGACUUGUCCUUAUGUGUCUCCAGUGCUCCAAACCUGGAAGAGAGGAUAUUUUCCAAAUAUAAAAGGCUCAUUGAUGUUGGAAGUGAAACUAGUGGUUCAACUAUAGAGUUUUCAUCUUCAAAGCCUUUAAUAAACAAGAGAUUGGGACCUGGGGUAAGACAUUCCGGAACCCAACACAAAGAGGGUCAAAUGUAGAAGGGUCUAGAGCUGGCCUCUCUGCUGAGGUCAAAUGUGCUUGUUCACAAGUUUGGUUUUAUGCAUAUUUCUAUUUGUGUGUAGGUCCUUCUGCACCAACUAUCUGUGGUUUAUUAAACAUUCAGGACUAAAAUUAAGCUAGAUAUUGUCCGUGGAUCUCUGCAGUUCACUCAAGUGAAAAAGCCAAGAAUGAUCGUAUAAAAUGAGGGAGAUGGGCCCACAAAAUCUGGGUUAGUUUUCUUUUCUUUCUUUUUUUUUUAAGAUUUUAUUUAUUUGACAGAGAGAGACACAGCAAGAGAGGGAUCACAAGCAGGGGAGGGGAUCGGAGAAGGAGAAGCAGGCUUCCCGCCAAGUAGGGAGGCAGAUUUGGGGCUGGAUCCCAGGACCCUGAGAUCAUGAUCCAAGGCGAAGGCAGAUGUUUAAAGACUGAGUCACCCAGGUACUCCUGGAUUAAUUUUCUGUUUUUUUAUUGGUAAGGACCAGGAUUCAUUUCUCUGAUGAAUC